rnacentral:rRNA from 1 species
AUGGCUCCUACCGAGGCUGAGGCUGAUGUAGAGGAGGGAGAAGAGAAGAAGAAGAGGGAAAGGAAAGCAGCUGGAGCUGCUUUCACGUGGAUUCAAAAUAACUUUGCGACGUGCCCUCCGGAUGCCACUGAUGAUGUGAUCCAGACACAUGCUCGUGUGUAUAUGUGGUACGUUGUGUCGAGGACUUUGUUUCCUGACUCCACUGGCAAGAACGCUCCAUGGAUGUGGCUGAAGGCGUUGACCGUCUUUGAUAGCAAAUGGAGAUGGGGUUCAGCGACUCUUGCCUACUUGUACCGACAGGUAGUUGGUCUGUUUUGUGAUCAACUCAUUUCUUCAUUAGCAAUGCAAGCUUGCUGUCAAGUUAACAUUGUUUUUUUCUUUCAUAUGUAG